GGGCUCACAUCGGCAGCACAUAUACUAAAAUUGGGACGAUACAGAGAAGAUUAGCAUGGCCCCUGCACAAGGACAACAUACAAAUUUGUGAAGCAUUCCACGUUUUA